AUGCAGAAGAGAAUCCAAGCUGAACGAAUGAAGCUGCGGGAGGUGACUGAAGACCGAGACGAGUUCAUCGAGGAGAUGGCUGACAAGAACAGGGAGAUUAGAACGCUCAAGAGGAUGAACAAGGUACCAGCAAUAACAAGGUCGAACAUGCAACAAUCCAUGUGGCUUAUGAGCAAGGUUGACGAGAAGGCAUCUGCUAUCAUAAUUGAUGCUAGGAGAGACUUACCUUUCGACGACGGAGACGUCGGGAUUGGCAAUGCAGAAAACAAGAUCACACCCAUAGUUACCAUAUUGAAGAUUGAGUAUGUUAGGACCAUGACAAAGGCCGAAGCAGACAAAUUCAAGGUUGCUUUUGCGAUUUGCACGAUGACUUUCCUCCUAGCCCCUCCGCUGAAGCAUAACUACUCCAUGACAAACUAUUGGAAUGGCCUGCACAUACCUGAUAUGAUUCAAAUGUUCAAUUGGGGAUGGUACAUUAGAGAAGAGCGCAUUUCCUCUGCUGGUAGGGUGAACUCUGAACUGUUAGGUGGGAAACUGAAGUCAAAUCUCACUGGAUGCACGUUCUUCUGGCAGGUUUUCUAUCCUGGCAACCCCGAACGAGAAGAUAAGAACCUCCCCCACGACGUGUUCCCUAGGUGCAAGGAAUACACACAAAAGACUAUCUCUGAUGUUAUUGAGGAAGACACGACAACUGGGAAAGAUGCAGAGAUUGUAGUGUAUGGACACCUACUGCCAAGGAAACCGGGGACAGUAUGCUACAGCCGUAACACAAUGGCCACAGCAACUCAGACAACAAUUGAUGGAUACGGGAUUGGGUGCAGCAAAGAUGGAAUUGGUGUUGAUAAAGACUUCAUAGAUAAAAUGCAGUUUGCAGAAUCUGAAGGUGCUCAAGAAGAAGCAAAUAAAGCAAUAGAUGACCUGAUUGAAGCAGCAGAUGAAUACAGCAGGGUGCAUAGUGGGAUUGUUGGCAAUGCGACAGGGCCGUUGGACGAUACUACAGGAAACAACUUGGCGAUGUCAGUGGUGUGUGGGGUGGCAAGAAAUGAAGUUAUAAGCUCUCCAAAAACAGCAUCAGGAACUGAUGAAGGUGAAGAGAACCAAAACGAUGGUUUUGAAGAUAAACAAUUGUCAAUCAUUCCAUCGGGCCAGGAUGCGGACUUAGGUGCAGGUGGAUCAAUUGAUCCUCCAGAGAUGCAUGGGAAGUUCAAAGUUGUAAUGUCAGGUCUUAGGAAGACGGACUUGAUGAAUGCAUUUACAGCUACUUCAGUGUCCAACGACUUGUCGGUUGCGUAUGCAAACAGCACGCCUGGUUCGCCAACAACCAAGGGGGAAACUCUCGAAGGUACAUCUUCAAGGCCUUCUCUAGUUAGCCUCCAUCGCCAGAUGUGUGCUGUCGAGCUCGACAUUAGGGAGGAGAUAGAGGAGGGAGCAAUCAACCUCAACGUCACUAUGUCACAGGGAUCGUUUAGCACACAGCCUCAGCCAAAGAGGGUGGUCAGGCCUGGGAAAUAUGCAAGCAUGUGGAUUAUAAGCACCAACCCAAAAUACAUGGACAUCAGUGGAGAACGGCUCCAUGAGAUGCUACGCGAUGGUGGUGAGGUGGAUAGCGUGUUGAUGACAUUGGUGAUGAGAAGGGAAGACACCAGGAUAUAUGCUACUCACUUUGGAAGGAAUUUGAUGGGAACUAAACUGAAAAGGGACAUGAACCCGGCAUACUUAGCUUUGUUAUUCCAUUUUUUCUGGCGCAUAGAAAUAAGAGUAUUGUCCAGACGUGCAUUGCAUGUGCACUUGGAAGCGGGCCCGUGGCCCGCGCUGGACGGCGCCGACACCGACCCGAGCCACCUCGUCCGCGUAUUCUUGGAGCUGUGGCUGGUCGAUUUACAUGAAAUUAAUUCCCUCAGUUCUGGUGAUGGCCGCAGAUCGUGGCUUCCGCCCGGACGUGAUGUGAAGGCAGGCUGCCUUGGAUCGAUUGGUGUACCACCACAGAGUGCCACGAUCCAAACAUAUAGAGAUAUAACGAACAACAAGGUUGGCACUGAUGUUCAGUGCAAGCAUCUAUCAUCCAAGUCUAAUUCUUGCAUAUUUGCAGGUCUGCAACCGCCGCCGCCGCCGCCGCCGCCGCCUUGGCCGCCUGGACAACCAGGCACGAUCUGUGGUGAUCUCGCACGAAAGUGGACUGGUAUCCACUCUCGCGGGGCGGAAAGCCGCAGGGGAUGCAGCUCCAGUGCUGCAUCCCCUGGGGCAGAGGGACUCCCGACAUCUGUCCUGGUUCUUGCGCGCUCUCCGACGAGCCGCGUCCUGGUUCUUGCGCCCUCUCGGACUAGCCGCGUCUUGGUUCUUGCGCCCUCUCCGACGAGCCGCGCGCUGGUUCUUGCGCGCGCCCCGACGAGCCGCGCCCUGGUUCUUGCGCGCUCUCCGACGAGCCGCGCCCUGGUUCUUGCGCGCUCCCCGACGAGCCCCGAGCGUAGUCUCCGGUCCGGCCGCUACGGCUCUCUCGCGCUGCGCGUAGACUCUGAUCUUCCUCCUCUGUCUCUGUCUCUCGUCAAGCCCUGCUCUCGAACUAAGGAAGACGAUGCUAUGGCGCAAGAAGACCGCCACAAGAGCGACCCGCCAACACCUCCCCUGAUAGCGUCGGCAAUAACUGCCCCAAGGAUGCCCGCCGAUGGCGUUGCUGCCGUCCCCCUCGAGGUGUUAGACGGAAUGGCCUUGAGCGUUGGUUUGCAUGAUGCGACAGCCGACUUCGUGCAAAUAUUGGACGACAACACCGUCGACAUCGAUCAAGCCCCGAUCGGUGAUUACGGUUACAAUGAGAUGGAUGGUGGCGUGCAGGAGGUUGAUGAGGGGAUGCUCGACGAAGCGCAAGCAAAGUCACGCGCAAGAUCGAGGAACUACACACCAUUGGAAGAUAAAGUCUUGAUCAAGGCUCUGGAAUCGGUGUCUCUUGAUCCGUGCACCGGCACCGACCAAACCGCCAAGUGGUAUUGGCAAAGGAUCGAGGAUCAAUACUUCCGCAUGAUGGCAAAUUAUCCCAACCGGAUGCCACACACCUUUCGGUCUCUUCAAGAAAGCGAGAAGUGGAAGUUGAUUGACAAGGAAUCCCCACCGAAGAGAGGUGCACUCACCAAGAUUGAUGAUGAUGAAGAUGAUGAUGGCCAAAGAAAUAAGAACAAGCCCGAUGGAAACAAGAAGGCCAAGGACAAGAUCAAGAAGGAAGCGGAGGCUUCAAACUUGCGGGACAAGCUAGAUCACAUGGUCAAGUUCAAUGAGCUUUUGGUGAUCAAGACAUUGGAGGCAAAAAAAGGAGUUGACCGAGAAGAAGGCUCAAGAGAAGCAAGAGAAAUGGCAACUUCUAAAGGAGGAGACCAUGCGCAAGGCUGUCAUUGA
rnacentral:rRNA from 1 species